UCUCUACAAUUUAGCCAGGUAAGUUCGUAUGCAAUAAGCAUUGUUAAAUUGAUGUUUCUAAUGCUUUAAUAUUGUAUAAAUUGUAUAUACGUGAAUAUUUUAAUGUCUGACGACAUAUCGACAAAAUGUGGCACUUAGUGCGGGGCAAUCAAAUAUGGUACUCAGUGUACGAAAUAUUGAGAAUGGCACUUAGUGUGCGAGAUAUUAAGAAUGACACUUAGUGUGCAAAAUAUCGAAUGAUUCAAAGGGAAAUUAUAAAUUGUGAUUGAAUGAUUAAAUAGUGCAAAGUGAACAGGUAUACAUGCUAUAUUAUAUGAAUUGUUUAUGAGACGACUUUAUAAUGGUGAUAUUUGGGCUUUGAGCCUAGCAAGCUUUAAGCUGGUGAAUAAUAUUAUCGGCUUUAAAACCUAGCAGGCUAAAUGCCGGUGAUUUGAUAAAAGUCUAAGACUAUGAGACCUUGUGUUAAAUCGGCAAUUGAAUUUGUUCAAUGCAUUAAGUUGGCCAGGUAUGUGAUAUAUUCUUAUGCAUGUUAGAUCGAUUGGAAUUGAAUCAUGAAUGUGAAAUGAGAAGCAUAGGUGAAAAUGCCUAUGUCAUAUAUGUGAGUAAGGGCAAAACCAUCGUAAAUUAUCGAUAAGGGUGAACUAUGUGCGGAAUCAUCUUAUAAUUGCUAAUUUGAACGGUUGUGUGCGAAUCAUUGAGCAUGAUGUAUUGUAUUGAGAUUAUGCUUGAGUGAAAUUAUAGAUAUGUGAUGAAAUUGAUUGGUGAUAUACAUGUUUAAAUAAUGUGAAUGCAAAGAAUGUGUGAAAGAGUAAAUUUGUAAUAAAUCUGCUUGGAACAGCAGCAGUAAUGUGAUUUUGGAAAAUCACCAUAAAUUGUUGGAGUUGAGUUAGAAGCUGAAUAAAUUAUUUAAUUAAAGCUUAAUGAGUCUAGUUUCUAAUACAAGAAACCGUGUAAGCAAAAGAAUUGCUGAUAAUGAGAUAUUUGAAGUGGCGUGGGAUAGAGUCAAAUGACUUCAGGGUCCCCUGUUCUAUUUUUAGAAAAUCAUUAUAAUUUGUACAAAAAUGGUUAUAAGAUAAAAUUUAUAUUCUUAGACUCCUUAAUGAGUCUAGUUUCAAAUGAAAUCAAAUAGAACAUAUUUUGAAUUCUGUACAAUGAGAAAUUUGAUUCGUAGUGAAGAGUGGUCAGAUUAGUCAAACAGUGAAAUAGGGGAAACUUUAAGAAAAAUCUGGUAUUGAUUGGCCAAACCUAAAAUUCUGAAAAUUUUAUGGAUGGAAGAUAUAUGAGUCUAUUUUCAGGGAAAAUUAACGGAAAUUGAUUUGGAGUUUUGUAACUCCAUCUAUAAAUAAUUUAGUGACUAUUGCUCAGGAAGACAACUUGUUGUGAAUUUGUGAUUAUGUUUUAAACAUCGAUAAAACUUGUUAAUGAGUUUCUUAUUGUUUUCUUAUGAACUUACUAAGCGUAAAGCUAACUCCCCUUUUCUUUCCCAUAUUCCCUAGGGUUGCCAGGUUAGCUCGGGUUGGAGGCCGUCAGAGAUAUUAUCACAUUGUCAAGUCUACGCUAUCGGCGUAAGUAAAUCUUAGUGUUUCGAGUCUAUGACAUGUAUAGGGUUGUAAAGUUGAGUAAGUAAAUGAUAUAAGACUAAGAUAUUGGUAAAUAUUUAAUAAUGCCUCAUGAAUAUUUUGGACCUUGUAAGCCCGAGUAAAGGAUAAUAUACGUGUGUAUGAAAAGUUUAAA
rnacentral:lncRNA from 1 species